rnacentral:lncRNA from 1 species
GGGAGAGUCCCCUGUUUCUGCCUCCUGUCUCAUAGGAGCACUGUGGUGACAGUCCCAUGUCUCUGUUUUACAUCGGUUCUGAGAAUCUGAAUUCAGGAUGGUGCAGACGCCAAGGCUGCUGCUGUCUCUCACUCUACAGAGACCCACGAGACCUGGAGCUCAUGGUCUUUCUUCAGACUUCAAAGAGAAAACAGAAGCGACGGGAAGACGGUACUCACACCCCCA